UAUAGGAUCUAGACUAGUUAUUUAUGUACAUAAAAUAUAUAAAUAAAAGAUAAAAUUUAUGCAGGCCUAGAUCCCAUAAAUUUAUAAUUGAUCCAGAUCUAUCAGUAAAAGUUACCUUCGAUGGGAAGUUUUUCCCAAUCUAAUCUAUACAAGACAAUUUAUAAUCCAUGCCUCGCCUACACCCCAUACAUUAAAUUCUUAAUUAAAUUCUUCCCUAGUGCUAUUAGAGCAUGGAAUGGGUUGCCUGAGCUAGCCAGGAAAACCAGUGACUUGGCUGAAUUUAAGUCAUUGGUUAAUAUGCAUGACUAAAUGCAUGACGCGUAGGACGUAAUCAUCUUCUUUUUUGAAGUAACGUCUGUAUUAUAUAAGAUAAGAUAAUAGUUCCCAUUCCAUGCCAUGCCCAGACCCAUGAGUUCAUGAAAUAAUAAAUGAUGUGGUGUCAAGUUGGAUCUAUCCCCUGAAAUUCAGCACUUUAAUAUAAAACUCACAUAUCUAGUUAAUUAUUUGCUAUGACACUCUGAUCAACUUGGACUUGUGUGAUACAUAUAUGUUUUUUAUCAGAUUUAAUGAAUGAAGUUUUGGUGCAUUUUAAGGCUACAAAAGUAUCAUCAGGUGCAUUCUAACCAUUGGUAUUUUUCCUGGCAACAUUUCUAUUCUAGUCUGUGAUAAAUUAUAAAUUAAAAAAAAUGUUUGUAAUGUUUCAGUUAUUAACAAGUAGAACCAUGCCAACCAGUUCUGAUGAUGUACCAGAAUGGCUCAAGGAUCAUACUUAUACUAUUUCUACUCUCUGGGCAGACAUUAAUAAUAUUGGCAUCCAUUCAACAUUUAUUUUAUGUUUGGAAAUGCAAGAAAAAGGCAUGCAUUCCUGACAAGUCAAUGAUUGGUUGCACCUCUUAAAGAUAACUUUCUGUUAUGAGAAAAGAUGAGAUUCUUGGACUCCUGCAUAGCACCACCAGAAAGGAAAAUCCCAUCAUGUUGCAAAAUAAAAGUCUUGGACCAAUUUUAAUUUAAGAUAUAUAUAUUAUACUGUAAGCUCUAUACAUAUUUAUGUAUAUCCUGUCAUUCAGCCAACAGGUUUGGAUUUAGUAUUUCUUUAAAUCUGUUUGAUAUUGUACUUGAAAACUAUUAAUCUGAGCCACAUUAAAACAAUUGGGAGUGCAGUGAAUGAGUGGUAAAGCACUUGGCUUCUGAACUGAGGGUUCCUGGGUUCGAUUAAGACUGGGAUUUUCAAUUUCAGAAUUCAAAAGGAUAGGGAUACAUGGCAAUAGUAAGGAAUAAGUAAAGGCAGUUUGGGGAUCCAUGGCUGAAUGGUUAAGUCAUGGGUUUGAAUCUCUGUGAGGACUCAGAUUAAAAUUUUUUUUUAGAUUUUUGGGUGCCCCUGAGUCCACCUAACUCUAAUGCGUAGCUGACUUUCGUUUUGGAAAGUAAAGAUGGUUGGUUGUUGUGCUGGCCACAUGAUGCACUGGCCAAAGAAUCAAAUGACCUUAACAUCAUCUGCCCUAUAGAUUGUGACUUCUGAAAUGGGAUUUUUUUUCAAAAGGUGGUUGGUUGUUGUGCUGGGUACAUGACACCCUCGCUAACCAUGGGGCACAGAAACUGAUAAACUUUAUAUCAUCUGCCCCAUAGAUUGCAAGAUAUGUAAGGGAAAUUUUACUUUUUAAAAAUUAAAAUAAGAAUCUAUCAAAAGUAAACAUAAAAUAUGGUGCAUUCUCCUUAAAACUAAAACCUGGUGCGAAGGUUUAAAAUGUUGGCAAAAAAAAGCAACAUCAUAUAUUCUUAAUUCCCUUUGCAAAACUUACUGAGAAGAAUAUGCAUGUUUUUCCCUCAUAAGUUUCUUGACAGAGGAAAUCUUGUUUAUAUUAGAUUUGAAUUAAGCAAAUUAAGAAAAAAAUUAUAAUCAUUAUUUCAAAUGGUUGUAUCUAAACCUUUUAUGAAUUAUUUUUCAGUUAUAAGUAUAUUGAGAUUAAUGGAUAAUCAUGAAAUUGUUAUAUAAUUGCUGCUAUCAUUCCAUUUACUAAAGAACCAUAAUUUUUUUUUUUUUUAAAUUAAUUUCAAAAUGAUUUUUUUCAAGCAUAGAGUUCACAUAGAUCUUGAGUGAAUUUUUUUUUUUUAUUUGACUAAUGCUUCAAUUUUAUUGUAUCAUAUUAGUUGUUAAUUUUUAUUACCCAGAAUAUUUAAAAAAUGAGUACACUAUUUUCAUGUAAUAAUGUAACUUGGUAUUCACACAAUGCUCAAAAUACACUAUAAUCUUUAGGCCAUACAGAUUUGUAUAAAUUAACUUGUUUAAAUACAUUGUAAAUGUAUAUUGUUUGGAUAAGAAUAAAGUUUUUCUGUAGACAAUUAUUGUUCAAGAUUUGUUGAUGCUCCUGCUUAAUCAAUUAUAUAUACAGGUCAUUAGUUUUAACACGUCUGAUAAUAAAUGACAGUACAAGUUA